UGGCUGCAUUACGAGUCUUCGGGAGGCGCACAGCGAGAAAGGUUCGUGUCAUCUCGGGCAACUGCUGCAGUUACUCGAUCCUUAGGUCUGGUGAACAGCUGCAGGCAGGGCCAGGAGCUGGGUGUUGGCGGAGGAUAAACACACCGGUCAAGAGCUACAACUAGAAGCUGCUCCUAAUAGGGAUUGGGUGGGGAUGAAAAGGCUCUAGGAGACUGUGAGCGGAGGUGGACGGAUGCAGAGAUUUCCCUGGGUACGUGCAGAGUCAAGGCCGGGUAUGGCUCCCUGGAAGAUGUCACGCACAAGCCAUGUAACCGUCUGAGUAGAGAUAUUCCACGACUGAAAUGGUUCCUUCCAUGGAAGUAACGGAGCUGCAGCGCACAUGGAUCCUGCCACUGCGGGCACUAGCAAGGCCACCCUUGUGAACUGUGGCAUUGAAGUGGAGAAAAGCCUCCAACAGCCUCACGGGAUCUUGGUUCCAGUCCUCGUAAUGCGACAUACGUGUGUUUUUAAGUCAGUUAUGUCACCACUCUGAGCUUCAAUUUUCCCAACAAUCAAAUGGGGAGUCUGAGUCUUCUCGGAGCUGUUAGGAAACUGAGGUUUCCUCCAGGAAGUUUCUGAAAGGUUGGCGUGGUGGUGAGAACAGCAUCCGUCCUGGCCUGCAGCGCUACUGCUCCCUGAUCCUAAGCUUCCAAAAUGCCCUCUUGUCUAGGUUCUAACCUUGCUUGAAACUCCAUUUUAUACUUUUUAAACAUCAAGUCUUUCUCUUGUCUGCCAGCAGUUAGUCCUUUGUCCGGCUUCUCUCAGGAAGGUAAUUCUCCCCCUCUGUUGUGUCCUGAGACCGGACACCAAUCUCAGUGCAACACAGCUGUUUGCUUCAUGUGUCGUCACCCCUUGAGACCUGGGUUCUUACUUGCAUCCCUGGUGUUGGGCAUGAAGUUGUAUUUUCCCAGCACAGCCGUUUCAGUGGAACGUGCUGGCUGGAAAACUAUUUUCUUCCCCCGAGAACUGUGUCUCUGUCAGUGUAUUAUGAAAAACAUCUUGUUCUUCAUUUAGUCACACAAAGAUAGCCAAGCAGCAAUUUUAGGAAAUGUAAGGUGCUCUUGCACAUAGGACGAACAUAAAUAAAAAACAAAU
rnacentral:lncRNA from 1 species